AUACAAUUCCAUGCUCAGCCCUUGCAACAUGGUUCCCGCAAAAAACAGUGAAGUGACAUCUUUGAUAUUUGACCUAAGGAAAGGGUGACGACAAUUUUGGUGGAUUGAUAGAAGUGGCAAGAGAAGAGAAAGAAGACCAGUACACAUCGGAGGUCAGCAGGUUGAAGGAGUUGACUCGCAAUGAUUUCUGCUUUUCCCGCUGAGUGGGAGUAAAGGUUAUCUCCUGGGAGUGAGGUAUUGGUGUCAGGAAAUUCUAGCUUUUCUGUGAAGAUCAGCCUCUUCCCUAAGCUGCAUCAACUUCAAAUAUUCUGCUGGCAGUGUCUGCACAAGAGACUGCUAGGCUUCAGUCUGUACAGGCCCUGGGAUUCUACAGGGUCUAGAAUCCUAUGGUGCAUGUC
ensembl:lncRNA